GUUUGCUUUCGCUUCAGUCUGCCAAAAGGCUGUACAGAAGUUCUUUGGGUAUCUGUUGCCUGUGUCUUUUUUGGGGGGAGGGGGGGAUGGAUUGGGAAUCUGAUGUUGGUUUUCCCAAGAUCUUCCUGAUCUGGAGACACAUUCCGCUUGGAGCCAUGAGGGCAGCAUUUGCAGAGCAGCCUCUCAGCCUCGAGAGCCUUUGAAAUACCGCCCCUUUUGCCCCUUCCACCCCCAUUUGAGUUUCAGAAUCGGAAAGGACUUCAGGGGCUACCUAAUUCAACCCAUACUCAACAAAAAUCUUCUCUACAAGACACUUGUCAUUUGGUCAUCCAGUCACUAUUUGAUGAUUUCCAGUAAAGGGAGAUCUGCCUCCCUUCAUCAGCACUACAUCCUGAGCCAGCCCAUGCCACUUUGUUGUUCAGUUGUGUACAUCUCUUUGUGGACUCCAUUUGGGGUUUUCUUGCUGUGUACUGCUUUGCUUAAUGAGACUGAGACUGUCAGCAACAAAAGAGUAGUGAUGAGCCAAACAAGUCUUCUUGGAACCUAUGUUUGUUUGCUGUUUAUAGCUGAGGGUCUCCAGCUUUACCUUUUAGAAGAGACUGCAAAUCUCUUUCCAGCAAGUACAACCAAAGUGGGUAGAGUAGUGUCAACAUCAAGAUCAUCCCCUGAUAUCAGGAGCGUUCCAUGAGCAACUCAUUGCACUUUAACCCCAGAGCCUGAAUCAACAGACCUGAUCUCAGUGAUGCUUGGCCAAGAAUAUAGGCAUUAUGAGUGCUUCCUUCCCUUUACUACAAUGACAAAAGAAAGAGGUAAAAGAAAACUGUUCAACACAACUAAUGAAUACAUCAUCUUAGUCUGACAGUACAUGCUGUGUUCCACACUCCUGCAAAGAAGGGAGAGAGACAGCAACAAAGUUGAUCAUUUCCAUAGAUGAUGAUGAAUAGAAAAAAGAAUUGCAUGUGAAACUAAAUCUCAGCUCUUGCAAGCUUCAGGUUCUGAAGGACUUAGACAAGGAUGGAACUACCUGACAUAUACUUCUGGUACCUGUCCAGUGCUACUAGAAGAGCUGUGGAGGCCUCAGAUGGGAACCGAUCUGACCAACCCAUGCUUCUGUCUCCUGUCCCACCCUCUGUCCCCCAAAAGUCUACUGGAGAUCUGAGAUUUGGAUAGAGCUGUCUACUUCUAGCCUUCCAGACUCCUUUGCACCAUCUCCCUCUAGAAAGCCCUCCAUCCAGUCAAGAUCUGGAAAAAAAAAGAGAGAGAACCAGACCUUAGUACUUCUUAAACUAUGGGUUGUGAACCUUGUGUGGGGGUUGUGAAAGAUUUGGCAACAGUAAAAGGUUUCUGAGUGUGCAACACCCAAAAAUUAAUUCAAAAUCAAACAUGCAGUGAAUCUAAGGUGUUUCUGGCAGCACUUGCCCACGUUGCAUCUCACAGCUUCACUUGGUUAUGAACACAAAGCAUUCACAUUUUGCACUGUACAUCCUGUCACGCCCAUGCAGCCUGGCCAGUGGAUGCUUCUGAAAUGCAAAAAGGGGUCAUGAGUGAAAAAAGUUUAAGGAGCCCUGACCUAGUAGAUGUUUGGAGAGACUUUGCGCCCAGAAACAUAUCAAGGAAUUAAUUUCUACUUAUCUCUACAAAAUGGUAUUUUUUAAAAAUCCCUUGCUGAUUAGAGGGGGAGUGGAAGGAGAUAGGUCAGCAGAACGGGACUUUGUCUCCUCUGACAGGGCACCCACAUAAAAUAAUUGCCUGCUUUGCCUUCUGCAUUCUUUGCUGUGAUUCUAACAUUUCUAGGCAAAAGGAGAAUGAGAAACUGGUGAGGAACCAACAAGCUUAUGAGGAUUGCUGUGCUUUUUAGGGGGCAUCUGAAAGAGAUGAGACUUAAUCCAAGCUCUCUAGAGAAAUCAUCUGCCCUCAGGGUUGCCAACCUCACUCUUGCUCUUGCCAGCAUCCUUAACCUCUCCUCCCUGCCCUAAUGGAAGGUAUAAGAGAAAGCAAGGAAUCUUCUCCAAUUUUAAGACUGGCUCCAAAGAGGAAAAUGAGUUAGCUGUGCAUACUACAUCCGUGUCAGAACCGUGAAGGUACAAAGGCACAUUUGGAGACUCCAACUGAAUUGGGCCUGUUCUGAAGUAAAAACCUUUGGAUUCCUCAGGCAGAGCUCCAAGCGUGAAGUACAAUUUGAAGUACAAAUUCUAGCAGAACUGCCAUAAUUCUGGGCAGGAUCCAUUGAGGGAGAAGAGAAUGAAACACAUUCGAACCCUGCCAGAAGGUAGGGGAGAGAGGUAGUGAAAGACCUUUCCACCUUGUCCUGUUACCCAUGUGAUCUUCACUCUAGACGUCCUGUGGGGCAUUGCAGUGUGAUCUAAUGGAAGAUUUUAAAAGGGUUUUAUUUGAUAAGAACAUGGUGGACAUGAGAUGUAAGUAAAAAGAGGAAAAAAAAGAUGCAGUUUCCCCAUGUACAAGUCAAGAAUCUUCAACAAGCUGAAGGCCUGCUAGUUAAACCUCUGAUUUAUGGGUACUCUGAGCUAGCUCUGCUCUGCAUAAGUUACCCAAACGAAAACUGAGAGAUAAAUGUAAUUUGUUUUUCCAGACAGACUGACCAUAUCUGCGAGCACCGGGUCCCUUAUCCUGAUCUCUGUGGGUGGACCCAAGUCUCUGAAACAGGGAGUAUUCCACUCCCCUAUCAUGAUCAGAGGAGCUGCUCCCAUCCUCUACUACUCUGACCAGGCACAUUUCCCAUGCCUAGAAAAUUCUCACCACCUCUUACUGUCCUAAUCCUUGUGAUACUGAAUUGCCAGCCGCCCGAGUAAGCCACUCUUGCUCUGCAGCCCCUUCUAGUCUGCAUCCACCUCAACCCCUCUCCUUUGUUAUUAUCCGCCUCCAUCCUCUCUUUACAUUGUGUCCUUCAAAAUUCUGGUGUCAUCAUUUUAAAAAUUCUCUUUAUUUCUGAUCCUUUCCCUUUGCAUUCCUCCCUUCUUCUGGUGCUGGCAGAAGCCUAACUCACCCAACCCUGCCCCCACCUCCCCAGCUGACACUGGCCAUGCCUGACUUUCCUCCUGGCACUGAUGGCACUUUGUCUCGUGCUCCUCGACGCACUACGUUUGGAGGACGGAUUGGAAUACUCCUUUCCCUGAACUACUGCUCGCAGAUGCUCCCUUUGUUGUCAUCAUUCAGCAAGGAUGACUAUCCAAAAAUAUCAUCCAGUUCAGAUAUUAAUGGUAGCAAUCUGCUGGUGUCCAAGUCGUUCUCCUUCUGUUCCUGAACAGUUACGCGUUUGGCUCACAGUCUUCCUGUCCACCCUGAUUCCUGCCCUGUACUAUGGGACUUCAGCAUACAUGUUAGUGGUCCUGGCUCCCACUUCUUCAGUCUCUUCAGCUCCCAUAGCAUAUUUCUGUACCCAGCAUCUCAGAUAGACACAGUACAGACAUGCUCACAACUUCCUUGAUCUCAUCCUCACCCACAAGUGUUCCACGUCCAUGAUCAAAAAUCUGUAACUUUCCUCUGUCUGAUCAUGACUUAUUUUUCCAUACCUUCUUUUGUCUUAAUCCUUCUCAACUCUUCUUUUUCAAGACAUUGACAGCCAGUGCAAAGGUGCAGAGACAGAAGGAUUGUCGUGUAUACGUGUUCUGUCCUCCAAUAAAAUGUAAGGUGCUUGAGAA